rnacentral:rRNA from 1 species
GACGAACGCUGGCGGCGUGCUUAACACAUGCAAGUCGAACGGAAAGGCCCUGCUUUUUUGGGGUGCUCGAGUGGCGAUCGGGUGAGUAACACGUGAGUAACCUGCCCUUGACUUUGGUAUAACUUCAGGUAACUGGGGCUAAUACCAUACCGGAUCUCCUGCUGCAUGGUGGGCGUUGGAUCGUUUCGGCGGUUGGGGUUGGAUUCGCGGCUUAUCAGCUUGUUGGUUGGGUAGUGGCUUACCAAGGCUUUGACGGGUCGCCGGCAUGAGAGGGUGACCGGCCACAAGGGGGCUGAGAGACGGAGCAGACUGGUACGGGAGACAGUGGUGGGGAAUAUUGCACAAUGGGCGCAAGUCUGAUGCAGAAACGCCGCGUGCGGGAUGACGGCCUGCGGGUAGUAAAACGCAGUCGGCUGUGACGAAGCGUGAGUGACGGUAAUGAAUGAAGAAGCACCGGCUAACUACGUG